UUUCCGUCAAAUUUUAAUAGGAGCAUUCAAUAUCUUGGUGUUUACAAAAUGUCGUUUUAAAAAUAUGGUUUCACAAAUUGUUUAACUAAUAUAUACGAUGCGCUUAACCUGACAAACUCGCUGACUUGAGAGACAAUAUGAAUAUAUGUUUAUAUCCUAUUGAACAUUGCUUGAAGACAUAAUAUUAUACAUAUUGCAUUUGUUUAUUUAAUCAAGAAAAAGCAGAGUAGAAUAAUACAAUUCAUGAAUAUGAUGAGCAAAAUUUAAUUAUAAUAAAUACUCCAGGAGGCGGCUAUUUUUGCAGUAUUUACCUAUAACGCAGAAUCCUUAUGAAGGCAACUACUGUGAGAAAAAAAUUGAUAAGGCGAGCGCGAGAAGUGCAAAAUACACAAGACAUAUAGUUAUUUAGAUAAUGAAACAAAACAGUUAAAAAAAACAAACUAGGAUUUUGUUUAACAA